rnacentral:misc_RNA from 1 species
GAUGAAGAACGCAGCGAAAUGCGAUAAGUAAUGUGAAUUGCAGACACCGUGAAUCAUCGAAUCUUUGAACGCACAUUGCGCCCUUUGGUAUUCCGAAGGGCAUGCCUGUUCGAGCGUCAUUACACUAUUCUUCGGAGUAUUGACAGUGGCUUACGCCUUGUCUAAAACCCUUGGUGGUAACUAUCAAUCACGCAUAGUAAUCUCUGCGAAGGUGGAUAGGUAAACACUGAAAACUUCUUGUUUGACCUCGGAUCUGGUAGGGAUACCCGCUGAACUUAAGCAUAUCAAUAAGCGGAGGA